GUUCUUGUAGUUGAAGUACAACGUGGAUUUUUCGUGUCCUUGGUUUUGGGUAAAUCCAAAUGAGAAUA
rnacentral:tRNA from 1 species